rnacentral:rRNA from 1 species
UUCUUGGUUGAUCCCGCCGGAGGUCACUGCUAUUGGGAUUCGACUAAGCCAUGCGAGUCGAGAGGGUUCGGCCCUCGGCUGACGGCUCAGUAACACGUGGAUAAUCUGCCCUAAGGUGGAGGAUAACCUCGGGAAACUGAGAAUAAUACUCCAUAGGUCUAGGAGGCUGGAAUGCGCCUAGGCUGAAAACUCCGGUGCCUUAGGAUGAGUCUGCGGACUAUCAGGUUGUAGUCAGGGUAAAGACCUGACUAGCCUACGACGGAUACGGGUUGUGAGAGCAAUAACCCGGAGAUGAUAUCUGAGACACGAUAUCAGGCCCUACGGGGCGCAGCAGGCGCGAAAACUUCACACUGCGCGAAAGCGCGAUGAGGGAAUCCCAAGUGUAUGCACGUAAGUGUAUACUGUUUUUAUGUCUAAAAAGCAUAGAGAGUAAGGGCUGGGUAAGACGGGUGCCAGCCGCCGCGGUAA